rnacentral:rRNA from 1 species
GACGAACGCUGGCGGCGUGCUUAACACAUGCAAGUCGAACGGAAAGGCCCUGCUUUUGUGGGGUGCUCGAGUGGCGAACGGGUGAGUAACACGUGAGUAACCUGCCCUUGACUUUGGGAUAACUUCAGGAAACUGGGGCUAAUACCGGAUAGGAGCUCCUGCUGCAUGGUGGGGGUUGGAAAGUUUCGGCGGUUGGGGAUGGACUCGCGGCUUAUCAGCUUGUUGGUGGGGUAGUGGCUUACCAAGGCUUUGACGGGUAGCCGGCCUGAGAGGGUGACCGGCCACAUGGGGACUGAGAGACGGCCCAGACUCCUACGGGAGGCAGCAGGGGGGAAUAUUGCACAAUGGGCGGAAGCCUGAUGCAGCAACGCCGCGUGCGGGAUGACGGCCUUCGGGUUGUAAACCGCUUUCGCCUGUGACGAAGCGUGAGUGACGGUAAUGGGUAAAGAAGCACCGGCUAACUACGUG